rnacentral:rRNA from 1 species
AUUGAACGCUGGCGGCAUGCCUUACACAUGCAAGUCGAACGGUAACGGGCCUUCGGGUGCCGACGAGUGGCGAACGGGUGAGUAAUACAUCGGAACGUGCCCGAUCGUGGGGGAUAACGAGGCGAAAGCUUUGCUAAUACCGCAUACGAUCUACGGAUGAAAGCAGGGGACCGCAAGGCCUUGCGCGGACGGAGCGGCCGAUGGCAGAUUAGGUAGUUGGUGGGAUAAAAGCUUACCAAGCCGACGAUCUGUAGCUGGUCUGAGAGGAUGAUCAGCCACACUGGGACUGAGACACGGCCCAGACUCCUACGGGAGGCAGCAGUGGGGAAUUUUGGACAAUGGGCGCAAGCCUGAUCCAGCCAUGCCGCGUGCAGGAUGAGGGCCUUCGGGUUGUAAACUGCUUUUGUACGGAACGAAAAGCCUUCUUUUAAUACAGGAGGGUCAUGACGGUACCGUAAGAAUAGGCACCGGCUAACUACGUG